rnacentral:sRNA from 1 species
ACAUUAGUAUUACCACAUAUGAAUGCUCUUGACAUAUCUUGUUCCACAGUGUUAUCACUGAUGAACCCAAACACAGGGUAAUACAUCUCCUUCGCCAUUACGGUGUCAAUAUCACAUCGGGAAGUCUCCUACAUGUAAAUCCUUACCCUCACCGUACAAGCAGCAGCAGUGGUUGUAGGUUCCCUACAGCUAGAGCGGGGGAUCGUGGAGAAGUGCUCAGAGCCCCACAUUCCGACGCUCCAUCAACUGACAAUUGUGAUUACAAAGCCACUAGCUGCACUGUAGGAUUUAUGAUGCAUUCCUCUUUCUGAGUUGACGCCAUUUUAAUUCGCCAAAAAUAUGCAUUUGCAUUUUGUGCAAUUCAUGAUUCAAAGAUUAAAAAUUGUCAUUUGCAUUGUCUUCUUCCAGGAAAUGUGUGGCGUUGACUACAUGUACAGUGAGGAUGAUGCUUAAUGGACGUAAUGGAUGAUUUAUCCACCGUGGUCGAUCACUGUUCUCAUUUUAUUUUUUUAAAUCAUAAAUAAAGUAAUUACUCCAAUAU